rnacentral:rRNA from 1 species
AUUGAACGCUGGCGGCAGGCCUAACACAUGCAAGUCGAGCGGAUGACGGGAGCUUGCUCCUUGAUUCAGCGGCGGACGGGUGAGUAAUGCCUAGGAAUCUGCCUGGUAGUGGGGGACAACGUUUCGACAGGAACGCUAAUACCGCAUACGUCCUACGGGAGAAAGCAGGGGACCUUCGGGCCUUGCGCUAUCAGAUGCGCCUAGGUCGGAUUAGCUAGUUGGUGGGGUAAUGGCUCACCAAGGCGACGAUCCGUAACUGGUCUGAGAGGAUGAUCAGUCACACUGGAACUGAGACACGGUCCAGACUCCUACGGGAGGCAGCAGUGGGGAAUAUUGGACAAUGGGCGAAAGCCUGAUCCAGCCAUGCCGCGUGUGUGAAGAAGGUCUUCGGAUUGUAAAGCACUUUAAGUUGGGAGGAAGGGCAGUAAGCUAAUACCUUGCUGUUUUGACGUUACCGACAGAAUAAGCACCGGCUAACUCUGUGCCAGCAGCCGCCGUAA